CCAUAUCACAUUGAAACGCAGGUUCCCGUACGAUCACCGAAGUUAAGCAACGUCAAGUCCAGUCAUUACCAAGAUGGGUGUCCGCUUGGGAAUACAAGAUGCUGUAAG